UCCGGAGGGUGCGAUCGUUAACCGGAAUCACUGGGUUUAAAGGGUGCGCAGGCGGCUCGGUAAGUCAGUUGUGAAAGCCCCUUGCUUAACGAGGGAGGUGCGAUUGAUACUGGCGAGCUUGAAUCGGGAUGAGGCAGGCGGAAUGUGUCAUGUAGCGGUGAAAUGCAUAGAUAUGCCAUAGAACACCGAUUGCGAAGGCAGCCUGCUGGGCCUGUAUCGACGCUGAGGCACGAAAGCGUGGGGAGAAAACAGG
rnacentral:rRNA from 1 species